GAUGAACGCUGGCGGCGUGCCUAAUACAUGCAAGUCGAGCGAACGGACGAGAAGCUUGCUUUUCUGAUGUUAGCGGCGGACGGGUGAGUAACACGUGGAUAACCUACCUAUAAGACUGGGAUAACUUCGGGAAACCGGAGCUAAUACCGGAUAAUAUUUUGAACCGCAUGGUUCAAAAGUGAAAGACGGUCUUGCUGUCACUUAUAGAUGGAUCCGCGCUGCAUUAGCUAGUUGGUAAGGUAACGGCUUACCAAGGCAACGAUGCAUAGCCGACCUGAGAGGGUGAUCGGCCACACUGGAACUGAGACACGGUCCAGACUCCUACGGGAGGCAGCAGUAGGGAAUCUUCCGCAAUGGGCGAAAGCCUGACGGAGCAACGCCGCGUGAGUGAUGAAGGUCUUCGGAUCGUAAAACUCUGUUAUUAGGGAAGAACAUAUGUGUAAGUAACUGUGCACAUCUUGGCGGUACCUAAUCAGAAAGCCACGGCUAACUACGUG
rnacentral:rRNA from 1 species